GCACAAGCGGUGGAGCAUGUGGCUUAAUUCGAUGCAACGCGAAGAACCUUACCUGGGCUUGACAUUUAGGGAAAAGCCGUAGAAAUACGGUGUCCUUCGGGGCCCUAAACAGGUGGUGCAUGGCUGUCGUCAGCUCGUGUCGUGAGAUGUUGGGUUAAGUCCCGCAACGAGCGCAACCCUUAUUACCAGUUGCCAUCAUUUAGUUGGGCACUCUGGUGAGACCGCCUCGGAUAACGGGGAGGAAGGCGGGGAUGACGUCAAGUCCUCAUGGCCUUUAUGUCCAGGGCUACACACGUGCUACAAUGGCCGGUACAAACCGUCGCAAACCCGUGAGGGGGAGCUAAUCGGAAAAAGCCGGCCUCAGUUCGGAUUGGAGUCUGCAACUCGACUCCAUGAAGCUGGAAUCGCUAGUAAUCGCAGAUCAGAACGCUGCGGUGAAUACGUUCCCGGGC
rnacentral:rRNA from 1 species